rnacentral:lncRNA from 1 species
AACAUAGGUAACUUCUAGCGCAACAGAAUGCACAACUUCCUGACACUGAAUUGCUAAAUAUGACCAGGUCGAUUUCAGAGUGUGCUGAGAAAUGAAAUAAUGUGAUGACUACCUUACUAAGUUCGUGACUGCCAAUGUAUUGCUAGUAUAAUCAGGUGAUCCUUGCAACAUGUGUGCUAAUCGUGACUUAGAUACCCGAGCUUUGAAUUGCAUUUCUGCAUCUGUUGUUUGUCGAGCAAGGUCUACUACCCAACAAUGGAUGAAGUUGACAGUAAUUGCUUUAAUGCUCAAAGCACCUGUUACACAAAAAGAAAUUGAACUUGUGUCCUACAUCACAAUAUUCUUUCCGUCUGUAAAUAAUAUCACUAUUGGUACAUAAAAGAAAAUCAUGAUAAUGUUUGUGGACUUAUAAUGGAAAACUACUUCUAAGUUGCUAGUAUGUAACAUGUUAUGACAAACAAACUACGUCUACAAUCUGUCAAUAUGACAAUGCAGCAUAUUUUUGCAACUAAAAAACAAUGCUGGUAGAACACCCAAGGUCGAAAUAUAAAAUAUGGCCUUGGAAUAAUCUCUGUGGCCAUAGAGUUACUCAUACACUUUACUACUAGUACUAUAUUCUCUCGUCACAUUAUAAAAUUAAUGGUUUUUCAUUGGGAACUCAGUAGCUGGGUCCUUCCAAAGAAACAUUAAUGUUUGAGUUAUAAAAGCUGUUUAUACAGCACUACAUAGUUAGUUUACCAUCCUUCUGCAUAGUUUUGAUGGCCCUGUACUUUGUUUUUCUUCACCUUACUCUUCUACUCUGUUAUUCAUAUCCAACCAAUGCGCAAUCUUUUUUUGACCCUGUUGUAAAUGUCUCGACUACAUGGAUCAAUACCCCCUCCAGUUGUCUUUCCCUGACUUUCAAAGAUAAUUCUAUGAUCAGACUAAUCUGCAAUCGUCGAAUUUCCUUUGAUACACUUUUUGGCUUUGGAUUCUACUGCAAUGGUGAUUGCACUUCUUACCAACUGUCUGUCUUUCUAUACAGUGACGCGAAACUUUUGCCAUUCUUCCCAAUUGUUAUCUGGUCUUCCAACCGGAACAAUCUUGUUAGAGACAAUGCAACGUUGGAGUUCACUCAAGAAGGUGAUUUAAUCUUGAGAGAUGUUGAUAAUAGCUUUGUUUGGUCUACAAAUACUACCAAUAGAUCCAUUGUUGGCCUAAAUGUUACAGACUUGGGUAACCUCGUGCUCUUCAAUGCCAACAAUAGUAUUGUAUGGCAAUCUUCUGAUUACCCAACAGACACUUUAGUUUUUGGGCAGAAGUUGUUGGAGGGGCAGAGACUCAUAGCCAGUGUGUCAAAAUCAAAUUCUACAGAAGGCUUGUUUUCUCUUUUUGUUAAUGCUAAAGGUCUGUUUGCUUACGUUGAAUCCAACCCUCCGGUGUCUUAUUUUGAAUAUUUGGUUUCUGAACCAAAAAAGAGGAAAGAACCCAGUUACAUGAUAUUAUUGAAUGGAAGUGUCACUCUGCACAUAUUGAAUGAUGAAGAAAACGAUCCCGAUUGUACUUAUUUAGUCCCACUGGCAUCCUCCAUUCAAUUCCUGAGGUUAGAUUUUGAUGGGCAUUUGAGAGUUUUUGAGAUUGAAAAAGGUAAUGUGGCUGAUCUCUGGCAACAUUCUAUGGAUGUGUGUGAAUAUCCUCUGGUUUGUGGGAACUAUGGUAUUUGUUCACUUGGUCAAUGCACCUGUCCUCAACUGAUCAGCAAUGGAAUAAGUUUUUUUAAGCCAAUAGAUGAUAGGCAACCCAAUAUUGGUUGCUAAUGAGACUACUCCAUUGUCAUGUGAAGCUCCUCAUGAUCACCUCCUCCUACAUCUUGAAGCCAUUACUUAUUUCCACCUUACUAAUGGCAUCAAUUCUACGACUCUUUCGAGUUGUAAGGAGAGUUGUUUGCGGAACUGUUUUUGUAAAGCCGCCUUCUUUCGUUAUCUCGAGAGUGAAACUAAUGGGGAAUGCUUUACACAGAAUGAUGUCUUUUCAUUGAUCAACGAUCAACAGAAAAUUGAUAAAUAUAACAUUGAUCGCGAUAAGAAGUUGGUGUUUAUUAAGGUGCAAAUGAUCACAAACAGAAUCCAUGCCCCUACUGAGCCUUCUUCAAACGUUCUUUUUCAAAACCAUGUUGUAAAGGUAUUUAUAUUAAUCAUUGCAGGUCUCUCUAGCGUUUUUUUAACCAUAACAUCAUAUGUUAUAUGGAAGAAAAGGAACGUUUCUGACAAAUGCAUAAAUUAUUUGGACCAACUACCUGGAAUGCCCACUCGAUUUUCUUAUAAAGACCUAAGGGUUGCAACGAACAAUUUCAGCAACAAACUUGGAGAAGGUGGGUUCGGAACUGUAUAUGAAGGAACCUUGACUGAUGGCACCAAAGUGGCAGUAAAGCGUCUAUAUGGAUUACGGAACAUGAAAAGCUCAUUUUUAGUAGAGGUGGAGACAAUAAGCAGCAUUCAUCAUGUCAACCUGAUAAGAUUGCUUGGGUUUUGUGUUAAUGCAUCACACCAACUUUUAGUUUAUGAAUACAUGUGCAAUGGAUCCUUGGAUAAUUGGAUCUACAGCAGAAACCAAAAUCCAACUCUAGAUUGGCAAACAAGAAAGAAAAUUAUUCUGGACAUAGCUAAGGGCCUGACUUAUCUCCAUGAAGAAUGCGAACAAAGGAUAGUCCACUUAGAUAUUAAACCACAAAACAUUCUCUUAGACAAGAAGUUCAAUGCUAAGGUGUCAGAUUUUGGAUUGUCUAAACUGAUCGACAGAGAACAAAGCAAAGUUAUAACAACAAUGAGAGGAACUCUUGGAUACCUGGCACCAGAAUGGUUAAG